rnacentral:rRNA from 1 species
GACGAACGCUGGCGGCGUGCCUAAUACAUGCAAGUAGAACGCUGAAGGAGGAGCUUGCUUCUCUGGAUGAGUUGCGAACGGGUGAGUAACGCGUAGGUAACCUGCCUGGUAGCGGGGGAUAACUAUUGGAAACGAUAGCUAAUACCGCAUAAUAUUGACUAUUGCAUGAUAGUCAGUUGAAAGGUGCAACUGCACCACUACCAGAUGGACCUGCGUUGUAUUAGCUAGUUGGUGGGGUAACGGCUCACCAAGGCGACGAUACAUAGCCGACCUGAGAGGGGGAUCGGCCACACUGGGACUGAGACACGGCCCAGACUCCUACGGGAGGCAGCAGUAGGGAAUCUUCGGCAAUGGACGGAAGUCUGACCGAGCAACGCCGCGUGAGUGAAGAAGGUUUUCGGAUCGUAAAGCUCUGUUGUAAGAGAAGAACGAGUGCGAGAGUGGAAAGCUCACACUGUGACGGUAUCUUACCAGAAAGGGACGGCUAACUACGUG